GACGAACGCUGGCGGCGUGCUUAACACAUGCAAGUCGAACGGAAAGGCCCUGCUUUUGUGGGGUGCUCGAGUGGCGAACGUGUGAGUAACACGAGAGUAACCUGCCCUUGACUUUGGGAUAACUUCAGGAAACUGGGGCUAAUACCGGCUAGGAGCUCCUGCUGCAUGGUGGGGGUUGGAAAGUUUCGGCGGUUGGGGAUGGACUCGCGGCUUAUCAGCUUGUUGGUGGGGUAGUGGCUUACCAAGGCUUUGACGGGUAGCCGGCCUGAGAGGGUGACCGGCCACAUUGGGACUGAGAUACGGCCCAGACUCCUACGGGAGGCAGCAGUGGGGAAUAUUGCACAAUGGGCGGAAGCCUGAUGCAGCAACGCCGCGUGCGGGAUGACGGCCUUCGGGUUGUAAACCGCUUUCGCCUGUGACGAAGCGUGAGUGACGGUAAUGGGUAAAGAAGCACCGGCUAACUACGUG
rnacentral:rRNA from 1 species